rnacentral:tRNA from 1 species
GGGCCGGUAGCGCAGAUCGAGGAGAGCGGAGUAUGGACAACUCACAGAGGUCGUGGGUUCAAAUCCCACCCGGCCCG